rnacentral:lncRNA from 12 species
AGCCGCCAUCCAUCUUCUCCUUUACUGGGAUAAACAGUGGGGAAAUCAGACACUGACUGAGGCUGCAUGGAAAAGUGGUGAAUCAGAGUUUCACAGAAAACCUGACAAUAAGAGGUCACUUUCAACUUCCUGGAAUUAACAUGAUUGAAUUAAUC